AUGCUGCUUCGUGCAUGUGGUUUGUACAUCUGUUAUGGUCGACGAACUAACCUCUGUUCAGCUUCUCUACUAGCUAUCUCUUAUUGUUCAAUAUUUUCAGUAUCGUCUAGGCUGGGAGAGGUCAAGAUCAACCUGGACGGCACUGGUGUUGCAAACUACAGCACACGGAUAUCGUUCUUGGAUUACAUCCUUGAUUGUAACCAAAGUCUAUGGAUCUGUCAAAGGGUCUUGCUGCAUAUGGUCAUUAUUGUAUUGCGUGGAAGGAGCGAAUGGAGAGCUAUGAGCAGAAUCACAGGAGAUGCUGCACAAUAUGAGGAAUGA
rnacentral:rRNA from 1 species